CACGUAGGGGGCAAGCGUUGUCCGGAUUUAUUGGGCGUAAAGAGCUCGUAGGUGGUUCGGUAAGUCAGGUGUGAAACCUCCAGGCUCAACCUGGAGACGCCACUUGAUACUGCUGUGACUGGAGUCCGGUAGGGGAGCGUGGAAUUCCUGGUGUAGCGGUGAAAUGCGCAGAUAUCAGGAAGAACACCCGUGGCGAAAGCGGCUCUCUGGAACGGUACUGACGCUGAGACGCGAAAGCGUGGGGAGCGAACAGG
rnacentral:rRNA from 1 species